rnacentral:rRNA from 1 species
UUUUAAUAGAUAUAAUUAUUAAUACAAUCUGCUCAAUGAAAAUUAAAUAGCCGCAAUUUUUGUGCAAAGGUAGCAUAAUAAUUUGUCUUUUAAUUGAAGACUAGAACAAAAGAUUAAACAUUUUAAUUAAUUUAUAAUCUUUAAAAAUUGAAUUUAUCCUAAAUGUAAAAAGACAUUUAUAUAAAAGGUAGACGACAAGACCCUAUUGAACUUAACUUAAGUUUUACUGGGGCAGUAAAUUAAUUAUAAUUUUAAUUAUUUUAUUAUAAAAUUAGAUCUAAUAAAAUUAAUUACUUGAUUAAGUUACCAUAGGGAUAACAGCGUAAUAUUUAUUAAAAGAUCUUAUACAAAUAAAAGAUUGCGACCUCGAUGUUGAAUUAAUUACCUAAUUAUACAAUGCAAUAAUUAAAAAAGGAAGUCUGUUCGACUUUUAAAAAAUUACA